AGAGGUCACAGGUUGGAGGCCACAGCAGAAGCACUCAUGGCGCAGCCCCGUCAGAGUCCAACAAUUCUGCCAAUUCUGCU
rnacentral:ribozyme from 1 species